AGUGAGAAGCAAAGAGGGCAUCUUAAAAGGCUCAUGAUGGAAUAGACACAGCUUAUUAGGUAAUAGUGGGACACAAGUUUGACAAGCUUAGGAGAUCUGUACCAAGGAGAUAAGUUUGGGGCCAGGUUACGGGGGCUUUGAAUACUAGAGUGAAGUAACUGGGCUAAAGGCUGUGGGGGAAUUUCUGAAAGCUUCUGAGUAGCGAAAACACAUGAUCCAGUGUGGUUAGUAGCAGGGUUAGCUGUUAGUUGGUGAAGAAAGAAAUCCGGAUUGGGAUCCAAGAUUGCAGGCCACUACACUUAACCAGAGGAUAAGUUACAUGACCAGCACACGCAUGGAAAGUCAAUGGUCUUCUCUCCUUAUGAAUUCCAGUGAUGUGCCCUCGUUCUUCGACCUCUGAAAUGAAGAGCCACUCAGAGUCACAGUCCCAGGCUGAUUUCAAACAAUAUCAUCAGUGUUAGAACAUUAGAAGGAA
rnacentral:lncRNA from 1 species